UACGAAGGGGGCUAGCGUUGCUCGGAAUCACUGGGCGUAAAGGGCGCGUAGGCGGUUUGACAAGUCUGAUGUGAAAUCUCUGGGCUCAACCCAGAGUCUGCAUUAGAAACUGUCGGGCUUGAGUAUGGGAGAGGUGAGUGGAAUUUCCGGUGUAGCGGUGAAAUGCGUAGAUAUCGGAAGGAACACCUGUGGCGAAAGCGGCUCACUGGACCAUAACUGACGCUGAGGCGCGAAAGCUAGGGGAGCAAACAGG
rnacentral:rRNA from 1 species